rnacentral:rRNA from 1 species
AUUGAACGCUGGCGGCAGGCCUAACACAUGCAAGUCGAACGGUAGCACAGAGAGCUUGCUCUCGGGUGACGAGUGGCGGACGGGUGAGUAACGUCUGGGAAACUGCCCGAUGGAGGGGAUAACUACUGGAAACGGUAGCUAAUACCGCAUAACGUCGCAAGACCAAAGUGGGGGACCUUCGGGCCUCACACCAUCGGAUGUGCCCAGAUGGGAUUAGCUAGUAGGUGGGGUAAUGGCUCACCUAGGCGACGAUCCCUAGCUGGUCUGAGAGGAUGACCAGCCACACUGGAACUGAGACACGGUCCAGACUCCUACGGGAGGCAGCAGUGGGGAAUAUUGCACAAUGGGCGCAAGCCUGAUGCAGCCAUGCCGCGUGUAUGAAGAAGGCCUUCGGGUUGUAAAGUACUUUCAACGGGGAGGAAGGCGGUGAAGUUAAUAACUUCACCGAUUGACGUUACCCGCAGAAGAAGCACCGGCUAACUCCGUGCCAGCAGCCGCGGUAA